GACGAACGCUGGCGGCGUGCCUAAUACAUGCAAGUCGAACGCAGUGGGGACGGGUGAGUAACACGUGGGUAACCUCCCAUCAGAGGGGAUAACACUUGGAAACAGGUGCUAAACCGAUACUGAUGGAUGAACCCGCGGUGCAUAAGCUAGUUGGGGGGGUAACGGCUCACCAAGGCCACGAUGCAUCUACGACCUGAGAGGGGUAUCGGCCACACUGGGACUGAGACACGGCCCAGACUCCUACGGGAGGCAGCAGUAGGGAAUCUUCGGCAAUGGACGAAAGUCUGACCGAGCAACGCCGCGUGAGUGAAGAAGGUUUUCGGAUCGUAAAACUCUGUUGUUAGAGAAGCGGUAUCUAACCAGAAAGCCACGGCUAACUACGUGCCAGCAGCCGCGGUAAUUC
rnacentral:rRNA from 1 species